rnacentral:rRNA from 1 species
UACGUAGGGGGCUAGCGUUGUCCGGAAUCAUUGGGCGUAAAGAGCGUGUAGGCGGCCCGGUAAGUCCGCUGUGAAAGUCGGGGGCUCAACCCUCGAAUGCCGGUGGAUACUGUCGGGCUAGAGUGCGGAAGAGGCGAGUGGAAUUCCUGGUGUAGCGGUGAAAUGCGCAGAUAUCAGGAGGAACACCGAUUGCGAAGGCGGCUCGCUGGGCCACACCUGACGCUGAGACGCGAAAGCUAGGGGAGCGAACAGG